rnacentral:misc_RNA from 1 species
UAGAGUUUAGUGCUCUAAAUAAUAUAAUUAAAUUUUUACACUUGUACCCAGAGUUUUUAAAAUGUCAAAGAAAUGUUUAAUGUUGAAUCAUCUGAAAUCAGAGUAUCUUGAACUACCUUUUUCAUAUCAGGUAUGUCUUAAAGGACAUGUUUUACUUGUAUACUUUCAAAAUAAAUGUUCAAGAACUACAGCAGCAAAAAAAGUGGGUGAAAAAUAUGGCUUGCUAACCUCUAAAAGUCACAUCAAAUGUGUAGUUAAUAGCAUCAAUCUAUAUAAGAAAAACUUGUUAAGGAACAUGGAAAAGUUUCAAAACAUUUGUUCUGAAGUUUUUUUUAAGUCAGCUACCACAACUGGUAUGAUACAUGAAAUAAGAACUAUUGAAGCACCUCCAGUACUUACAUCUGAUUUGUCUUAUGUAAACACAAUUGUGCCAAUAGUUUCCACUGAAUCAAGUGCUUUUUUAUUAUCUUCUCCAGGUUAUUCAACACCCGGAGAAUCACAACCACUACUGUCUCGAUUGAGAGGUAUCCAGUUGAGUCCAAGAAAAAAAAUUCUCAAGCAAAGAUUAACUAUGUUGGAAAACGAAUUUUCUACAAAAAUCGAAAAGCAUAAAAAAGUUUUAUCAGAGUUAAAAGAAAAGUUCAAGUCAAGGCCAUAUAGACUUAAACAAUUAAAUCAAACAAUUGCUCGCAAAAACAAGACAAUCAUGCAGCUUCGAAAUAAAUUAAAUGAACAGAGUUUUAGCAUACAACUUAAAUGUCUUCAAAAUAAAAAUCUUAGAUUGAAAAAGCAAAUAGCAUUGUCCAAGACAGAAUUUACUUAUCAAGUUAAUAUUUUGAACAAUCAAAUUUCUGAUAGAAAUGCUGAGAUUCAAAUUCUUCAAAACAAAUUGCUAAUUUUAAAGGAGGAAGUUGAGCAAACACAGCACAAUGUCCAGAAUACGAGAUAUGCAAAAGUCUACACUACUGAUAUUAGGGCAUUAAUAUAUGACAUGCUUGUUUGUAAUGUGCCUACACAUAGUGUGCCAUCACUGCUCCAUAAAAUUGGAGAAUUUACUGGCUAUCAGUUUACUGAAAUUCCACAUCGUACAACUGUAGAGCAGAUGAUGCGUGAGCUUGGAGUUAUUUCAGAUCUGCAGACUACUGAAAUAGCUAUUGCAACAAAAAAUCUGACCUUGGGUUUUGAUGCUACUAGACAAGAGGGUGUCCAUGUAAAUGCUGUCCAUUUUACAACCAAAACAAGAUGCAUGGUUGUGGCUGUUGACCAACUUGCUGGGGGUACAGCUAAUGAUUAUCAAAGUCAUAUGACACAGUCUGUAGAUCACCUUGCUAAGUUGUAUAGUAAUUUUUACGAGCAAAAAUAUAUUGAAAUACGAAGUAAGAUUAUUGCUAAUAUAAGUAAUACGAUGAGUGACAGAGUGGCAGCAAACCAUGCAACUGUCACUAAGUUAAAUACUUUGUGGCAGAAAUCGUUAAAUGAACUAAAUUGCCAUCUUCACCCAUUGGAUACAAUGACCUCUGCUUGCAAGUCUUCACUUAAAGUAUUGGAAACUUUUAAAGGGAAACUGUUUGGCAGGGAUUGUAUUGCAGCAAACAUUGUUAUACAGCUUAACAAACUACGCUACAAGGAUGGUAAAAGUGAUCCAAAAGGUUUUGUUAUCUUUUUGGACAAACACAAGUUGCCAAGGGGACUGUUACCACGCUACAGAGGAAAUAGAUUACACGUCUUAUUUCAUACAUGUGGAAUUUUGAUCCAUAACUAUACUAUAUUAAAGACAUUCCUGUUUUCUGGUGUGACAUUAUGUGGUGGUCUGAGAAAUAGUCUGUAUCAAGACUUUACUUCAGAAGCAGGUAUCCUUGAAUUGUGUGCCUUAGGGUUAAUUGGUAAGCUACUAACAGGUCCCUGAUGACUAAGUUCUAUGUUGGGCCUGGUCAAGGACUCGACUACAUAUCUGGCAUCCAAGUAGUAAAAAAUGUUCGCAACCAUCUUGUUGAGAUUAUCAAGAACCCGCUUGCUCUAAUUCAACGAAAGUCAGAUUUUUUUGGAAAUGAUCUUAAUGAUCCAAUCUUUAAUUCUAUUGUUGGCUUUUGUCCACAGACUGAUAAAAUGGGAGAAGCAUUAGGUUGUUGUCUGAAUGCUGUCAUUAUUGUCAUUGACAGGCAGUACCAGAGACAAUUCAACAUGACAUCAAAUGAACUACUUAAGGACCAGACUCUUUCAGCACGGCUUCAUAAUAUUGACUCUGAAGAACUCAUGGGUAUGUUUAGUGCUGCAAAACAUAAAUCUCCCAAUGCCACACUUUGUUUUUUAUCAUCAAAUUUGCGUGCAUGUAAAAACAAAACAACUGAUUUCCUCCGUGAUAAACCUAUUGAUGUUCGAAAUAAGUUGAUGUUAUGGGCUAUCUCCAUGGCCAGAAAAAAAACGCUUUUCCAACACAGAACAACUUGAUCUAAUUAAGAUAGAACUAAUUAAACGCAUGGAGAUCAAAUUUCAGCAAAAAGACAACAAAGAAGAAAAGUCGAAAAAAUUGCUUGCCUAACGAAGUAAAACAACUAUUCUCUAAUCUGGAAAAUGAUGAAGCUGCUGAUGAGGAUGACGAUACAGUUGACUAUGAUAUGAGUAAAUAUCAACUGUCUGCAGAUGUAAUUACUGGUGACCUACAUAUGAUGUGAUCUAUACCUGUGAUAUUUUGCUAUUUGUUCAGUGGUGGAGCACCGCGUUUAGAGCAUUUAAAAGUUUCAAGAUUUGGAAGGAGCGUACUCUACCACUUUAUAUACUGCUAAUUUUUGUUUUUAAAUUUUUUUUUGUGAUUGAUGGGGAGGGGGGGGAGGGAGAGAAGGUGACGCUUUGCAUCCUAUAAUUUAUUUAUGUCACUAUAAUAUAUAUAAUUUAAUAAAAUAUAUUUUUUUUAUUUUUUAUAUUAUUUUUAUUCAUUUUAUUAAUGAUAAAAAUAUUUAUAAGAAUAAAUCUUUCGGUACUAGGGUGUGUACCAUUACCACCACACCCACCUUCUUCAUAAAAUACAAAUACUAAAAUACUAAUACUUGCUUGCCUAUAAAAAAAUAACUACUUUUUUAAUGAUAAUUACUAGUUUUAUAUUUAAAAAAAACCUUUUAUGGAAGAAAUGUGAAUUUUUUGAUA